GGUGGCUCAGCGGUAGAGCACUUGCCUUGCAUGCAUGAGGCCCUGGGUUCGAUUCCUGAGCACCA
rnacentral:tRNA from 1 species